rnacentral:rRNA from 1 species
GAUGAACGCUGGCGGCGUGCCUAAUACAUGCAAGUCGAACGGGGAGUAGCAAUACUCUUAGUGGCGAACGGGUGAGUAACGCGUUGGUACCUGCCCCGAAGCGGGGGAUAACGGACCGAAAGGUCCGCUAAUACCCCAUGUGCUCGGUAACGAGUAAAGGUGAAAACCACUUUGGGAGGGGCAUGCGUCCCAUCAGCUAGUUGGUAAGGUAACGGCUUACCAAGGCGAUGACGGGUAGGGGACCUGAGAGGGUGGCCCCCCACAAUGGAACUGAAACACGGUCCAUACACCUACGGGUGGCAGCAGUAGGGAAUAUUGGUAAUGGGCGCAAGCCUGAACCAGCAACGCCGCGCGUGCGAUGACGGCCUUCGGGUUGUAAAGCACUUUUGACUGGGACGAGGAAGGACGGUACCGGUCGAAUCAGCCUCGGCUAACUACGUG